rnacentral:rRNA from 1 species
UACGUAGGGGGCUAGCGUUGUCCGGAAUCAUUGGGCGUAAAGCGCGUGUAGGCGGUCCGGUAAGUCCGCUGUGAAAGUCGAGGGCUCAACCCUCGAAUGCCGGUGGAUACUGGCGGGCUAGAGUACGGAAGAGGCGAGUGGAAUUCCUGGUGUAGCGGUGAAAUGCGCAGAUAUCAGGAGGAACACCAAUUGCGAAGGCAGCUCGCUGGGACGUUACUGACGCUGAGACGCGAAAGCGUGGGGAGCAAACAGG